rnacentral:lncRNA from 1 species
CUAGGUGGUGCACACCAGUGGCAGGUGAGUGUCGCUGUGGCAAAGUAACAUGCCCAAGGUCACACUCCAGUAGGUCAGUGGCAGAGUUAGCCCUGCGCCAUCAGUCACAGAAUCAUCUCAGCUGCCUGAGAGUGCACGUUUUCUGCAGCCUUCCCUCAGAAUUUCCUCUAAUUGAGAUCAGCUGAAAUAAUCUUAAUGAAGUUGUACAAUAUGGAAGAUUCCCUGCCAUGGAGGAUUUAUAUGCCUCGACUGUAAGUGACAGUAUAGUCUUGCAAGCCCAGUUGCAUGUUUAUCCAUUACCUCCCUGCCAAUGCUGCUCCUUAGAGAGAUGGUGCUGUAAGAUUUUGGAUGCUAAGAAUAAUAAAAUGGCAUUUUUCAGUAACCUAUAGUUUGCCUCUGCCAAAGCAACGAUGCAUCACUUUGAUGCCAAAAAGCACUGAAACAGGAAGAGUUGCUGUUGGGUCCCAGCAUGGUGACUUCAUCACAGGCCUCAGCUUCAAACUGUGGAGUAAUAAAACUGAAUAGCACAAUAUAAAACUCCAUGUUUCAUAAGACAAAUAUUGCUUUACGCAUUCAUGUCCCUUGUACUAUGUUAACUGUAGGAAGAAAUGGAAUACAGUUUUAGUGACCCCCUGGGACCUAUAAAGGCUAUUUCUGAGUCUGAAUCUUGCUGUUUAAUUUAAUCAUUUAUUAUAUUAAUAUUCAAAUGGGCUGCAUCUUAUUAGCUACUGCAAAGAUGUUAGUAUGUCUGAAAUAAAUACCUAAUUAUGCUUUUGAAGAGAGAGGUU